CAGCUCUAUUCACAAUAGCAAAGACUUGGAACCAAAUCUUUAUAUUUUUUAUUCACCCUUCUCUCUCUCUCCACAACCACUAACAUAACCACCCACAAAAGAAGAAGACAAUCCCUUCAAUGUUCCCCGAAUGUGUGCUGCUGCUAGCUCGGAAGCUCUGUAGAGUUUUGUAACGGAGUGUGAACUGCUGGCCUGGAUCUCCUAACCAGUAAGGAGAGAGGGAGGACAAAUCCGCUGAGCAGGUGGUAGUCGGCCACAACACAACCGCCAGCCAGGAAAAGGCCAGGGUGCGGGGAUGCCCGCUGCCCCCUCGACGCCAGUGUCCUCUGCCCAGGAAGAUCAAAUCCGCAGAGCAGGGUGCGACAGGGGCUUCCACCAAAUACCUUGGCGAGAGCACCCCAGGAGGCCACCUCACGGCUGGCACCCCCAAUGCUUUGCGGCUGCAGGGGAAAGCAGGAGCCCUAGUUUCCAGGAUUCCCUGCCAGAAAGGGCCUGGAAGGACCACAGAAGGAAAGUUCCUCAUUCCACAGGGGAAGGAUGCCGGGAGACAGAGGGCAGAAAGUGGUGGGCAGCGUUGGGAAGAUGUUUCUGGCAUUCAAGGCUUGCACCUUCUGAGUCCUGGUGGUGCUGUAGCAAAUGAAUUCACCCCGCUAUUCCGGGAGGCCAAGGCAGGUGGAGCAUUCGAGCCCAGAAAUUUCAAAUCAGCCUGGGCAACGUGGUCAGACGCCGUCACUACAAAAAACAUUUAGUCAGGUGUGAUGGGCCACGCCUGUAUUCCCAGCUACUCGGGAGGCUGAGGUGAGAGGAUCUCUUGAGACUACAGUGAGUCAUAAUCUUGUGCCACUGCACUUCAGCCUAGGUGACGGAGCAAGACCCUUUAUCAAAAAAUAAAUAAAUAAACAACUAUAUAAAUAAACUCA